rnacentral:rRNA from 1 species
UAAGACAGAGGUGGCGAGCGUUGUUCGGAAUCACUGGGCUUAAAGGGCGCGUAGGUGGCAGUGCAAGUCUGGGGUGGAAUCCCAGGGCUUAACCCUGGAACUGCCUUGGAAACUGCAUUGCUUGAGUCAGUGAGGGGAGGGUAGAAUUCCUGGUGUAGCGGUGAAAUGCGUAGAUAUCAGGAGGAAGGCCUGUGGCGAAGGCGGCCCUCUGGCGCUGGACUGACACUGAGGCGCGAAAGCGUGGGUAGCAAACAGGAUUAGAUACCCUGGUAGUCCACGCCCUAAACGGUGGGUACUAGGUGUAGGGCUCGUAAGGGUUCUGUGCCGAAGGGAAACCAUUAAGUACCCCGCCUGGGGAGUACGGCCGCAAGGUUGAAACUUAAAGGAAUUGACGG